GCCCUCCUCUCCUCCAGCCCUCAGUGUCUGUAGCCCUCUUUUUUUUUCUGGCAGUGCUGCCUUUUGGUGUCUGACCCCUUGCUAGGAGCCAGCAGGGGAGGAGGGAGGCUGUGGGCUAGAAGGGAUGUGUCCUGGCAUCUCCUUUCCCCCAGGGGAAGAAGGCAGGGGGUGGCUGCCCUGCUUAAACCCCCCUGGGGAAAUCCAGGCUUCGGAGGCUCUGCUGAAGUAAGAGAUCGGACGUGGGAUAAGGAAACGGGUGGGGAAAUGAACGCGUAACAGCUGCUGGGAGGCAGGAGGGAUUGAAGUGGUCUUUUCCUCUCAACUCCUCCGCUUUGAAGUCGGUCCUGCCCUGGGAGAGGUGAGAUAAAACAGACUGGGAGGGUGGAGAGCCGGGACAACCAGGAGAGAGAAGGGAAAUACAGGGAGACACGGGGAUGAAGCACUCAGAAAGGUGGGACAGAGGCUGCAUAACCCAAAUACCCUUCGGUCAGUCUGUUGUAGAAAGCCCUUGAAGUGUCAGAGCUGAGCCGUGGACCUCGUUUUCUGCUGGGUGUCCAAGUUUGGGACCAUCUAAGGGGUGCAGUGCUUGCGAGCCUGCUUGCACUUCUGAAAAUAAGGCUGUGGGUGGGGAGAGCUCCUGCAGAGCCUGAGCAGGGCUCAAAGCGAGAGCAGGGGACAGCUGGGGUGGGUAGGCACUGAUGCUGCAGGCUGACAGGGAGGCUUUUCCCAUUUUGGAGAAACAAAGUCUUCAAAUCCACCUCGCCUCGGAACUGGAAGUGGCGAAGCCCCUAGGAAACAGCUCGCUGCUGAGGGACGGGCUGGCACAGGGCCACGUGAUUGUAAAUCUGUUAUCCCCAGCCCAGCCUGGUCCUGCCCUCGCCUGUGAGUUAAUUCAUCCCUCACAGCUGAAGGAACUGGCACUUCUCUCCUAAUAAAAUUCUCGAACUGUUAGCAAGUGAAGCAUUUAGCUUUGCAGAGGGGGAAGAAGACACUCCUGUGCUGAUGGAGAGCACGGGGCAUUUCUUCUGCUUCCUCUGAGGCUGCAGCACCGUGGUGGGCAACCGGUGAUAAAAAA